GACGAACGCUGGCAGUGUGUCUUACACAUGCAAGUCGGGCGGAUCUCUCUAAUUGCAGCAAUGCAAUUGGAGAGAUCGAGCGGCAAACGGGUGAGUAAUGGAUAGGUAAUCUACCAUAAUGACUGGGAUACCCCCUUGAAAAAGGGAUCAAUACCAGAUAAUGUCAGUUUAAAUACUUUUAAACUGAAGAAAGAUGGCCCAAAGCUAUCACAUUAUGAUGAGCCUAUCUCCUAUCAGCUUGUUGGUGAGGUAAUGGCUCACCAAGGCUAUGACGGGUAGCUGGUCUGAGAGGAUGGUCAGCCACACUGGAACUUAGAUACGGUCCAGACUCCUACGGGAGGCAGCAGUGGGGAAUCUUGGGCAAUGGGCGAAAGCCUGACCCAGCGACACUGCGUGGGUGAUGAAGAUCUUUGGAUUGUAAAACCCUUUUCCUGAAGAUGAAGGUAGGAUUGAGAAUAUCCUUCCUACCUGAC
rnacentral:rRNA from 1 species